AUUGAACGCUGGCGGCAGGCCUAACACAUGCAAGUCGAACGGUAGCACAGAGAGCUUGCUCUCGGGUGACGAGUGGCGGACGGGUGAGUAACGUCUGGGAAACUGCCCGAUGGAGGGGGAUAACUACUGGAAACGGUAGCUAAUACCGCAUAACGUCGCAAGACCAAAGUGGGGACCUUCGGGCAUCACACCAUCGGAAGUGCCCAGAUGGGAUUAGCUAGUAGGUGGGGUAAUGGCUCACCUAGGCGACGAUCCCUAGCUGGUCUGAGAGGAUGACCAGCCACACUGGAACUGAGACACGGUCCAGACUCCUACGGGAGGCAGCAGUGGGAAUAUUGCACAAUGGGCGCAAGCCUGAUGCAGCCAUGCCGCGUGUAUGAAGAAGGCCUUCGGGUUGUAAAGUACUUUCAGCGGGGAGGAAGGCGGUGAAGUUAAUAGCUUCACCGAUCGACGUUACCCGCAGAAGAAGCACCGGCUAACUCCGUGCCAGCCGCCGCGGUAA
rnacentral:rRNA from 1 species